UACGUAGGGUGCGAGCGUUAUCCGGAAUUACUGGGUGUAAAGGGUGCGUAGGCGGCUAUUUAAGUCAGAUGUGAAAACUCAGGGCUCAACCUUGAGGCUGCAUCUGAAACUGAGUAGCUAGAGUGUGGGAGAGGAAAGUGGAAUUCCGAGUGUAGCGGUGAAAUGCGUAGAGAUUCGGAGGAACACCAGUAGCGAAGGCGGCUUUCUGGACCAUAACUGACGCUGAGGCACGAAAGCGUGGGGAGCAAACAGG
rnacentral:rRNA from 2 species